AUGGAUGCCCAGGAGGUUCGGCUCCUCCUCGUCUUCCUCCUCGCACUCCUCACGGUCUUCUUCCCACUCCUUCGGCUCUCCGGCGCUGCUCGGCGUCAAGGCCGAGCCCGCGGCGGGGACGCCGCUCGGCCGACGCACUUGCAGCGCCGGCAUCGUCAUCAACGAGGGCGGCCGGCGCGCCUCCUCGUCGGCUCCUCCGCGCUUCGUCAAGCCAAAGACGGAGCCGGGGCUCGCGCCGGUGAAAACGGAGCCGGGUCUCCCCGCCGUGAAGACGGAACACGGCGACGUGGAGCUCGACGACGAGGCGGCCCUGGAAUGGGCGUGCAAGGACUUCCUGAAGAUGGAGAGGGAGCGCCAGUGCGCCGCCCUGCGGCGCUUCGAGCAGCGCCGCCGGGGCCGCGACGAAGGAGUCGUCGUCGUCCUCGACGACGACGCGCCGCCGCCGCCACCAGUCCGCCUUGGCGACGCCGGGCAGGGGUCCACCAGGGACGCCCGCGUCAAGGAGGAGAAGGCUGA
rnacentral:rRNA from 1 species